UACGUAGGUGGCAAGCGUUGUCCGGAUUUACUGGGCGUAAAGGGCGUGCAGGCGGCUUGUUAAGUGCAGGGUGAAAGCUCCCGGCUCAACUGGGAGAGGUUCUUGCAUACUGGCGAGCUCGAGGGAGGCAGAGGAAAGUGGAAUUCCCGGUGUAGUGGUGAUAUGCGUAGAUAUUGGGAAGAACACCGAUGGCGAAGGCAGCCAUCUGGACCGACACUGACGCUGAGGCGCGAAAGCGUGGGGAGCAAACAGG
rnacentral:rRNA from 1 species